rnacentral:tRNA from 1 species
GGUGUACUAUCUCGGGCUGGUUAGAGGGCACCCCUGAUAAGGGAGAGGUGCGUGGUACGAGCCCGGGAUGAUACA